AUGAAGCGGUUCGACGUGCAACCAAUGUUGAAAGAAAACAAAAAGAAAGGAGAAGUUCAAUUUCUAAAGAUGACGUGGUUUAACAAUUACCGAUGCAAGUCGAAGAAGGAUUGGCCGGUGCUGCCGGCUGGCGUCAAGUUCGAUCCCACGGAUCAGGAGCUGAUCGAGCACCUUGAGGCCAAAGUGAGUGCUGACAACGCGAGAUUUCAGUCUCUCAUUGAUUUGUUCAUACCAAUCAUCGACAGCGAGCACAACAUAUGCUACACCCAACCUGAGAAACUUCCAGGUAUCACACUGAGUGGCCUAAGGAAGCAUUUCUUCCAGCGCAAUUUCAGGGUGUUCAAAAGGGGCACGUGGACGCGUCGCAAGAUACAGUCGGAGUGCGACAUGCAUGCGAUGUGGCACAAGACCGGCAAUACCUUGCCGGUGAUGGUCAACGACCGGCAGACGGGCAGCAAAAAAGGUUCUGGUGCUGCACACCAACAAGAACUUCGACCAGCAGAGGACCAACUGGAUGAUGCACUAUUGUACUACCUUGUCGUCUGCAAGUUGGUAUUGUUGUUAACGAUCUUUUGGUCGAGCAAGUUUCAACUGGGCUGUAGACUGCCCAGGGUUGGUUUUGUUUUUAACAGGCCCAGCCCAGGACGACAACGGGGCACAAAGAUCCAGCAGUUUUACUAG
rnacentral:rRNA from 1 species